AUCAACAAGCUGCUGACAGCCCUGAUUGAGUGCACCGAGUGGGGCCAGAUCUUCAUCCUGGACUGCCUCACCAACUAUACGCCCAAGGACGACCGCGAGGCCCAGAGGACUGAGCUCUGGGAUAAGAACAAAUGAGGAAGAGACAGUCACUGCCCUGGCAGCAAACACCCAUGGCCAGGGUUCCUCUAUCCAUCUGUGGGAAGACCCCAAGUUUGAUACUGAAGAUGUUAAACCAUCUCCAAAUUGGAAAGCCAAGGCUCGGUCAUCAUUUCUUUCCACCCCUCUCUGCCUUCCUUCCUUCACCACCAAGGAGGAUGG
rnacentral:lncRNA from 1 species